UACGUAGGGUGCAAGCGUUAAUCGGAAUUACUGGGCGUAAAGCGUGCGCAGGCGGUUUUGUAAGUCUGUCGUGAAAUCCCCGGGCUCAACCUGGGAAUUGCGAUGGAGACUGCAAGGCUGGAGUCUGGCAGAGGGGGGUAGAAUUCCACGUGUAGCAGUGAAAUGCGUAGAGAUGUGGAGGAACACCGAUGGCGAAGGCAGCCCCCUGGGUCAAGAUUGACGCUCAUGCACGAAAGCGUGGGGAGCAAACAGG
rnacentral:rRNA from 1 species